UCGAACGUAAGAUGACUGUAGGUGAAAGCUUACAUCUCUUCGGAGCAUUUUACGAGGUGCUGCAUGGUUGUCGUCAGCUCGUGCCGUGAGGUGUCGGGUUAAGCCCCAUAACGAGCGCAACCCCUACCUUUAGUUGCCAUCAGGUAAUGCUGGGGACUCUAAAGGAACUGCCUACGCAAGUAGUGAGGAAGGCGGGGAUGACGUCAAAUCAGCACGGCCCUUACGUCCAGGGCUACACACGUGCUACAAUGGCCGAUACAGAGGGCAGCUACCUGGUGACAGGAUGCAAAUCUCCAAAGUCGGUCUCAGUUCGGAUCGGAGUCUGCAACCCGACUCCGUGAAGUUGGAUUCGCUAGUAAUCGCGCAUCAGCCAUGGCGCGGUGAAUACGUUCCCGGGCCUU
rnacentral:rRNA from 1 species